GACGAACGCUGGCGGCGUGCUUAACACAUGCAAGUCGAACGGAAAGGCCCUGCUUUUGUGGGGUGCUCGAGUGGCGAACGGGUGAGUAACACGUGAGUAACCUGCCCUUGACUUUGGGAUAACUUCAGGAAACUGGGGCUAAUACCGGAUAGGAGCUCCUGCUGCAUGGUGGGGGUUGGAAAGUUUCGGCGGUUGGGGAUGGACUCGCGGCUUAUCAGCUUGUUGGUGGUGUAGUGGCUUACCAAGGCUUUGACGGGUAGCCGGCCUGAGAGGGUGACCGGCCACAUUGGGACUGAGAUACGGCCCAGACUCCUACGGGAGGCAGCAGUGGGGAAUAUUGCACAAUGGGCGGAAGCCUGAUGCAGCAACGCCGCGUGCGGGAUGACGGCCUUCGGGUUGUAAACCGCUUUCGCCUGUGACGAAGCGUGAGUGACGGUAAUGGGUAAAGAAGCACCGGCUAACUACGUGCCAGCAGCCGCGGUGAUACGUAGGGUGCGAGCGUUGUCCGGAUUUAUUGGGCGUAAAGGGCUCGUAGGUGGUUGAUCGCGUCGGAAGUGUAAUCUUGGGGCUUAACCCUGAGCGUGCUUUCGAUACGGGUUGACUUGAGGAAGGUAGGGGAGAAUGGAAUUCCUGGUGGAGCGGGGGAAUGCGCAGAUAUCAGGAGGAACACCAGUGGCGAAGGCGGUUCUCUGGGCCUUUCCUGACGCUGAGGAGCGAAAGCGUGGGGAGCGAACAGGCUUAGAUACCCUGGUAGUCCACGCUGUAAACGGUGGGUACUAGGUGUGGGGUCCAUUCCACGGGUUCCGUGCCGUAGCUAACGCUUUAAGUACCCCGCCUGGGGAGUACGGCCGCAAGGCUAAAACUCAAAGGAAUUGACGGGGCCCCGCACAAGCGGCGGAGCAUGCGGAUUAAUUCGAUGCAACGCGUAGAACCUUACCUGGGUUUGACAUGGAUCGGGAGUGCUCAGAGAUGGGUGUGCCUCUUUUGGGGUCGGUUCACAGGUGGUGCAUGGCUGUCGUCAGCUCGUGUCGUGAGAUGUUGGGUUAAGUCCCGCAACGAGCGCAACCCUUGUUCACUGUUGCCAGCACGUUAUGGUGGGGACUCAGUGGAGACCGCCGGGGUCAACUCGGAGGAAGGUGGGGAUGACGUCAAGUCAUCAUGCCCCUUAUGUCCAGGGCUUCACGCAUGCUACAAUGGCUGGUACAGAGAGUGGCGAGCCUGUGAGGGUGAGCGAAUCUCGGAAAGCCGGUCUCAGUUCGGAUUGGGGUCUGCAACUCGACCUCAUGAAGUCGGAGUCGCUAGUAAUCGCAGAUCAGCAACGCUGCGGUGAAUACGUUCCCGGG
rnacentral:rRNA from 1 species